GAGAGGGGCACGCUUGCACCGAAUUCUGCUAAAUUUCGCCACCUUGGUUGGACCCCGGGGCCCACUCG
rnacentral:tRNA from 1 species